rnacentral:tRNA from 1 species
UGGUGUAGCUCAACUGGCAGAGCAGCUGAUUUGUAAUCAGCAGGUUGUGGGUUCGAUUCCUAUCACC